ACCAAAUAAACCAUCAACACUUAGUACCUGGCCUCAGGCUCUGCUUUCUAGGAAACCCAGACUAAAAGGAGGCUUCAUGCAAAACAAAUUAAUAUUGUACACACUUAUUUGAGCUUUAAAAAUACUAAUUAUAUGCAAGACUUACAUUAAGAAAAUUUGAAGAAUAGAAGUUUAGUCUGUUAUAAAUUAAGAGACAAUGGUGUGCUUUCAGAAAGCAUUCCUUUCCGUAUUUACUAGUCUUUCACUGUCAUUUCGGGAGAGGAUGAAGAGUUUUAGGAACGUUGAGAUCAUAAUAAAAGCUUACAACUUGCAAGUUCUGUGAAACUAAACUAUAUUGUUGCAAAGGUAAAUCUAGUCAUCAUACAAGGAUAGAAGGUAGCACAGAACAGUGUGGCUCUCAAAAUAACAAAUAGAAUUUGUAAUGCAGAGUAUUUAGUAUUCACAUACAAAGCAAAUAACUUAAGAUAUAGAUAGGUACAGGUAGGCAGAUGAUUUUGAACCACAAAUCAGUUAGCCAAAUUCAAAACAGUUGAAUUGUUUGAGGACAGACUUGAGUUUUACUGAGCUAUACAUAUUUGAUAAAUGUCAUAUUAUUCUAUGAGGUUCUGAAUGGGAGGCACCUAGAAAAAAAUAACUUCUAGUGGAAACAUGUCAGCCUUAUUCAGAAUCCGGAAAGAUAUCAAGAGAAUAUCAUACUAUAGGUAUUUACUAUCUAAAAGUUCUAAUCAAGGAGGUUAGAAAUCCAUUAUAUUAUACCUGAAUCUCUCCCACAAUAUCUUCACCUCUAGUCCUGCAUUUGCUUGCAGAAUGCUAAUCAUGGGGAAUUUGCUUUCUCAAUUGAAAAAUGGUUUCUGGGGUCAUUGUGUGAGUGUGUGUAUGUCUUAAAAGUAAAAUUUGCUAUCCUUUAACUUUAGCUGAUCCUAGAUCCUUAAACCAAACAAAAAUGGUCUAAAAUCUAACUGCUCUUCUAUAUGACAGUACUUAAAACACUUGAAGAGAGUUUUCAUAUUUCCUCAGGGUCUCCUGUGCUCCAGGCUAAAUAUCUAUCACUUCAUCAAUCACUCUUCCGAUCUGUCAAGUUUCCCACAUUUGGGGAAAUCGCAGGGGUCAGCACAUCUGGAGUGCAAUGGAUAAGCCUCUCCCUGGGAAAAUCACCUUUGUGAUCAUGGUAUCUCUCCUGCAGGGUAAGUAUGCUUUCUUCUUUCUGUAAGAUCAGUAGUAAUGCCAUUUUUUUUCAUUCUUCAUUUUAGUAAUUUGAGUGUUCUAUCUUUCUUGGCUAAAAGUUUGCCAGUUUUAAUGAUGUCUUCAAAGAAUCAACUUUCUUUGAUUUUAUGUAUUCUUUUAUUCACUGUUUCAUUUAUUUUUGCUGUAAUCAUUAUUUUUUUCUUUCUGCUUACUUUUGGCUUGGUUUUCCCUUCUUUGUCCAGUUUCUUAGAAUGGAAAGUUAGGUUAUUGAUUUAAGAUUUUUCUGCUUUUUAAAUAUAGGCAUUUACUACUAUAAAUUUCUCCCUAAGCAUUGCUUUAGCUGCAUUUCAUAAGUUUUGGUGUGUUGUGUUUUCAUUUUAAUCCAUCUAAAAGUAUUUUCUUUUUCUUUUUUUUUUUUCAGACA